rnacentral:rRNA from 1 species
UGGGGAAUAUUGGUCAAUGGGCGAAAGCCUGAACCAGCAAUGCCGCGUGAGUGAUGAAGGCCUUCGGGUUGUAAAGCUCUGUCGGGAGGAACGAAAAUCCGGCUUGUCCGGGCUUGACGGUACCUCCAAAGGAAGCACCGGCUAACUCUGUGCCAGCAGCCGCGGUAAUACAGAGGGUGCAAGCGUUGUUCGGAAUUACUGGGCGUAAAGCGCGUGUAGGCGGUUUAGUAAGUCAGAUGUGAAAUCCCUAGGCUCAACCAAGGAACUGCAUCUGAUACUGCUAGGCUAGAGUAUCGGAGGGGAUGGCGGAAUUCCCGGUGUAGAGGUGAAAUUCGUAGAUAUCGGGAGGAACACCUGUGGCGAAGGCGGCCAUCUGGAAGAUUACUGACGCUGAGACGCG